rnacentral:lncRNA from 1 species
ACUUUUGGGGACUGCUGACUCAGACUGUCUUCUGUGAGGAGCAGUGUUGCAUGGGAAGGCUCCAGCAGUACCUUCCACUGUAACGCAUCUCCUUUCCAGGCAGCUCUCUGCCCUCAGCUCACAGCCUCCCUGCUCCAGCUGCCUCAGGUGCCACAAAAGACAUAUCACCUCCAUCUCGAUCCUGCUGAAGAUUCUCUUGGGAAGUUGUUUCUGCCCCAUCCAUCUUCCUCUCGAUUGUCCUCUGGACUGCACAUCUGGACCCUAAGUCCUCCUCAAGUGCAGGACAGAACAUCGCUUGUUCCCCAGUGCUUGACACAGCGCAUGGCUGUUUGGCACAAUGGUAGAUUAAGCUCAGACCUCAGUCUUGCCUUCAUGAUUAGGUUUCGCCAGUGAGCCACACAGACAUGAGUGCUGGUUCAUGAGCUAUCUGUGACAUCCCAUCUCAAGUGUUCGAGCUUCCUGGGAGACUGUUCAUCCCCCACUUCCAGUAACCUUGCGACUCACAUUCAGCACCCAGCCUCUGCCGUCGCUGGAUUCCUGGGCUAGAGCAGCACCCGAGACCAGACACGGGCCAUCUGGUUAAAUGAACAACUCAACCCAGGAAUCACAGGUAAGAAUAUAUUUUCCCUCGGGACAGCAGAGACACCCCUACCCA